rnacentral:rRNA from 1 species
UACGAAGGGGGCUAGCGUUGCUCGGAAUCACUGGGCGUAAAGCGCACGUAGGCGGAUUGUUAAGUCAGGGGUGAAAUCCUGGAGCUCAACUCCAGAACUGCCUUUGAUACUGGCGAUCUCGAGUCCGGGAGAGGUGAGUGGAACUGCGAGUGUAGAGGUGAAAUUCGUAGAUAUUCGCAAGAACACCAGUGGCGAAGGCGGCUCACUGGCCCGAUACUGACGCUGAGGCACGGAAAGCGUGGGAGCAAACAGGGAU